rnacentral:lncRNA from 1 species
AGCAAUCUGUAGUUUGUCCUCGGGUUAUUACUAAUUUUAAUAUCCUAGAGUAAUGACUUCUAGAACUUGGAAAGAAAAUUUUUUGAUAAUAGGAUUGGUUACAUUAAGUUGUAUAAUGAAAAGGUAAAGAUCUGUAACUUUCAGUUUUAAGUGAUUAGAAUCAUUCUUUUCAGUUGCAUUAAAUCAAGUUCUUUGCUAAGAGUGGGCAAAACUCUAAGUAAUAUAACUGCAUAUUAAGCAUAUUAGUUAUGAUCGUAUUUUUUGAAUUGGUAAUAUAUUCUCAGGGUUUGAAAAUGAAUUCAUUGAUACACAUUGAGAAACAAAGCAUCUUUCAUUUUGUUGCAUAUGACCCAUUCCAAAGAUAAGUUUUAGGUAACUGUCAUAACUUAGAAAGUUUAUCUCCUCUGUGUCAUGUAAAUUUUUGUGUACAGAGACUUAAUUUGACUCAUUUGCUUAAAUAUUUGAAUGCAAAGUUACAGUGAAUUUUGUUUAUAAAUUUAGCUUAUAAUUUUGGAGGGAAUGAUGGGUGUGGUUUAUGAUUGAUUAGCAGUAAGAUUAUAUAGCCUUAAACUACGUAGAAAGGUUUCCAUGGGCAAAGCAGCGUGUUGUUAACAAAAAGUAAUUUUAAAUUUGAUAAAACAGUUUCUUAUGUUUGUACAGUCUGCUUUAAAGCAAAUGUGCAUAUACAACAACACAGAAGUGCUGUUUAAUGCUUAUUACUGUUUUCAAACACAAACUCUGGAUUUUAAUUCAUAUAAAAGCAAAGAGCAUUAUUUUGUGUUUUUCCCUAGGGUGCAUUUCUGUUCUAGAAGUAAAAGUUAAACCACAAAAUGGUUUACAUAAAUGUAAGACUCCAUUUUGUUUACAAUUAAGUACUCUCUCCUUUCUGGGAUAAGUACUGACUUGUGAUUGUACCUCACACGUGAUACUUAAGUAAACAGCAAGAUGACAGAAGGUA